rfam:Loxodonta africana unplaced genomic scaffold scaffold_28, whole genome shotgun sequence.
GCAAUGGUGGUUCAGUGGUAGAAUUCUUACCUUUCAUGUGGGAGACCCAGGUUCGAUUCCUGGCCCAGUGCA